rnacentral:siRNA from 1 species
AUGGGAGCGGUGAUUCAGG